rnacentral:rRNA from 1 species
UACGUAGGGUGCGAGCGUUGUCCGGAAUUAUUGGGCGUAAAGAGCUUGUAGGCGGUCUGUCGCGUCUGCUGUGAAAAUCCGGGGCUCAACCCCGGACUUGCAGUGGGUACGGGCAGACUAGAGUGCGGUAGGGGUGACUGGAAUUCCCGGUGUAGCGGUGGAAUGCGCAGAUAUCAGGAGGAACACCGAUGGCGAAGGCAGGUCACUGGGCCGCAACUGACGCUGAGGUGCGAAAGCGUGGGGAGCAAACAGG